CCCUUAGAUGUUCUGGGCCGCACGCGCGCUACACUGACACGUUCAUCAAGUCUAUAACCUUGACCGAGAGGUCUGGGUAAUCUUUUAAAAACGUGUCGUGCUGGGGAUAGAUUAUUGCAAUUAUUAAUCUUCAACGAGGAAUGCCUAGUAGGCGCAAGUCAUCAGCUUGCGUCGAUUACGUCCCUGCCCUUUGUACACACCGCCCGUCGCUCCUACCGAUUGGGUGUGCUGGUGAAAUGUUCGGAUCGGCCGUUUGUCGCGGUUUCCGCGUCAUGUGGCUGAGAAGUUCAUUAAACCCUCCCACCUAGAGGAAGGAGAAGUCGUAACA
rnacentral:rRNA from 1 species